UACGUAGGGUGCGAGCGUUGUCCGGAAUUAUUGGGCGUAAAGGGCUCGUAGGCGGUUUGUCGCGUCGGGAGUGAAAACCCAGGGCUUAACCCUGGGCUGGCUUCCGAUACGGGCAGACUAGAGGUAUGCAGGGGAGAACGGAAUUCCUGGUGUAGCGGUGGAAUGCGCAGAUAUCAGGAGGAACACCAAUAGCGAAGGCAGCUCGCUGGGACGUUACUGACGCUGAGGCGCGAAAGCGUGGGGAGCGAACAGG
rnacentral:rRNA from 1 species